UCACUGACGGUUCUCCGAGCUUUUUGUCCUACGUCAACAGAUAUGGACGCUAAGCCGUGGCAAUAUCGCCACCGGGGUGUGAUAAGAAAUUCUCUCACCUCCCCUUACUUGGAAAGGUGAUCAUGUCUCAACUAC
rfam:Shewanella woodyi ATCC 51908, complete genome.